CUGACCACCAUCCGUUCUGGUGCGUUUGAAUUCGGCGCCUGCCUGUUUUUUUUUGCUCUCCUUAAUUGCGUGGAUAAUCUUGCCAGUGCGGGGAGAUCAUGAUGCAUUAUUUGGCAAUCUGCGAGUGUUUAUCUGCAUGGAUUAGAUCCGGGGCCCACAUGUCGGUGGAUGGUUACGCUAAUUACUUGCUCCAAUACGGAUAGAAGUUAGUUCUUCUGAUACUGUUGAGGGGAGAGAUCGAGGUGCGCGUGUGCCUAAUUUGGUUGGUGACGGCCGUGAUGUUGUAGGGAUGCGUGCCUUAUAGGUUAAUUCAGUAUGCAUGAUGAUGGGUCUAGCAAGGAUUGGGUGGACAAAGCCUGUAGUAGAGUAGUGAAGUGAAGGAGAACAGUGUCCUAUGAGUUACAACCAGUAGUAGAUAGAAUAGGACAGUGCCAUAGUAGAGUGAGUUUCCAAAUGGAGUUAGUAGGACUUUCGUUUGUUGAUAAAUAAGGAUCGACUUAAGCGACAGGUGGACAGUUUCUUUCCUUGCUUUCCAUCCAAUAGUACGAAGUGAGUUCUGAGUGAUAAGCAUAGAGUUGACACCUUGCUUUGAACUACUUGAAAUUUCAAUUAGUACUUGGGACAAAACUGACUGCAGUGAGCUGGGACACAAGGCACUCUUCUUCUUUUAGACUCGAUAAUCCGGGGCUAAGAUAGAACGAAUUCCUGCCCUGUAAAGCUAGAAAAGGGGAGCCUAUUUCCCUAUGCCACCCACACACCCACCACCAACCGAACGUCAGAAGACAAUAACUACUCAGCCCAUUUUUGCUUAGUUGGUAAGGUUCCUUUGAGAUAUCUCAACGCCUGUGAACUUCCCUCUGUUGAUAGUACCCUCCCAGAAUAGAGUUACCAGCUCUUGUUGUCUGGCCGGUGACAAGCUCGGCCUCACCCAUUCUUCUCUACGAACGAUACUGCACAACUUGCUAGCAUUGAGUUUGUAUAGCUAUCAACUCACUCUCCUACUCUUGUCAACGAACUCAUUGAACUACUCUUUCUCACUCCGCACUCUGAAACGGUUCACUCACUACUUCCUUGUUUGUUGGAAACGAACUCAUUUGUCCACUAGCUGUCAACUCUCCUACUGUUGGAAAUUAACUCAUUGAUCAGACCAACAUCGAUGCUUUUCACUCACUACUAUGGUUGUUGUUCAUUCCUUCACUCUGGAAGUACGCACUCAUUAUAGCAAAGCAACUCACUAAACUCCCUGCUGUUCACUCCUUUCCCUACUAGAUUAUUUGAGACAGUAGCUGUGAACUACUCCGUUGCCUCUUGUACCCAACUGUGAACUACUCAACUACCUAUGUUGAAACACUGCUUUGUGAACUACACGCUUGUUCAACUGAAGCUUUGUGAAAGAAAGGAAAAUCGAGCGCAAAAGUGCUAAACUUGAUCAAGGAGAUGAAUAGCCAACUUUCGCUUCUAAAGUUCCUUCUUUUUUCUUUUUUCAACAACUCAAUAGAACUUUUCUCAUAUUAUGUCAUUUGCACCUUGGAUUUUCCUCUAUCGCUCCAGGACUCUUGUUUAGCUUGUUAGAGGGAAUGAUCAGCCCGGGGAGAAGGGUUUUUUCCUUCCAACGAUGAAGGUGCCUUAAACCGAAUGAAUAUCUCAAGCACUCGAGUAAGCAGUGGAUCAUAGCGUCUUUGAAUGAAAUUAGUUGGGUAAUUGAUUCAACUGGUACAAAGAAGAGCCAUCAAAAAGAAAGUCCAGGUGGGAGUGAAAUCUUCGAACAUGAUAUUUUCUUACCCUAUACUAUCCACUGCUUAUCUUGACUAUCAAUACACCCUUUUUUGAAACUCUUCCCUGCUUUCCUAUGAAACAACUAAAACACCUAAAAGCUUACUACUUCUACCUAGUUGCUUACCCGUGAGCUGAGCCUAUCUUGACUGACUUAUCACACAACCACAUGCUUAUUCCUAUUCAAACACAUAUACCGGUAAACCUAUUUCUUGCAUUACUUAGUAGCUAGCUUUGGUAGCCCUGAUCUAUGUCUAAAAAACAGAUGCCUAUUCUUGGUCACGACCAGCUAAAGAUCACUGGCCAUAAUGUGCUUUUUUUCCUCGGAUUCAUUGGAACCCUCCUCGCGAAAAUGGUUCCUGUAAAGCAAACUAAGAGCGGGGAAGGAACUAGGGCGGACAUAAGCUCACCAAUUAGGAUGCGUGAUUGAUUUCUUUAAUAGGUAUGAAAUGAAGAUGCCUUGAAUGAACCCAAGCAAGCCGAAAUCUAAUACUAAAAGUAUGAAGUGGACAUCUAUGGUUUAAUUGGAAACAUCUCUUUUCCAUCUAUAAGGUGAUGAGGGUUGAAGCACAACAACUUAUCAUGAGUAGUGCGGUUAUUUAUGACUAUAAACUUAGAAUCCCUAUAUUUAUAUAGAACAGUGGCUACUUUCGUAGCAUCUCCUCAACCUAUAUUAUAGGUUCAUGCCGCUCGCUUACUUAUGCUUCCGCUCUAUCCAAGUAAAAGCUAUACUUUAUUAGAAAUGAAAUUGAGUAUCCGGUAAAUCAUUCCAUCAAGCCAGUAAGCUAACCUUUUAUGACCCACGGCAGCAAUCCUACCUUUCCUUCUGCGUACAAGAACUGAAGAAGAAGCUAGGACAUAAGUCAAUAGUUGAGUUUCAUAAGUAGAAAGUUCAUAUUCUUCAGUCAUUGAUAAACAGUUUUUUGGACAGUACUCAACACAGUUACCACAAAAUAUACAAACUCCGAAAUCCAUACUAUAAUUAGAAUUAAGCAAUUGUUUCCUUUUAAUAUCCUUUUCAAAUCUCCAAUUGAUGGCUCCGUUAUAGGUGCUAAAAACGAGUAAAAAACGAAGAAAAAAAUAAUAAAAAAAGACUUCAGAUCUGCUAUAUUUUCAAUAAUAAAAAGCAUAGAAUGACCUUUAUCUGCCCAUUGGAAAAAGAAAGGUAAGGAUAGGAUUGGUAGCGGAAGUGAUGUGAAUGAAUGAAUUGAAAUAUGCCAUUUAAGAGGAGUAGUAGUUUUUUUGUUGAUGCCGGUGUGGAAGACGAAGACGAAUGUUACUAACGUCAACUAAAAGCAAGGAGUUGGCAUCGGGAAGUAAGAAGUUCUUUUAUUCUAUAGAAAAAUCACUUUCUUGUUUUGUUUUUCUGAAUAUAUAAAGGGAAUAUCACGGGAUAGGAAUGAAAGAACUCGUAAAGGAAUUACGAAAGGUUAGGGGCAUCAAGGAAAGUAAGACUAGAAGAUGGAAGGGAGGAAGGAGCCAAUAAGCCACCGUCAGUGUACCAGUCAUUGGGACAGGUCCCGUGUGUUCGGUCUACCUGCCUUUAGUACGACCCGGAUGAAAAGAUGCUGACGAGUAUUAAAGGUUAGGCCAAAUGAUUCUAAAGUACUACUAGUGGUAGAAAGCUUACUUACUACUAUUUAUCUUCACUUGUGUUGUUAAUAAAGCAUGGGCAUAAUAUAAUAUAACUAUUUCUUUUUUAAGCAAGGGCCCUGUUCAACAACUAGACAUAAUGUAAUAACCUACUCUUUCUUCAAAGAAUGUAGCAUACCUAAGAAAUGAUUUAUCUAACGUUGUGAAAUAAAGAAAUUCGCAGAUCGCUUCUUCUACCCUUCUCUUAUUCGCAUUUCCUGCUUACUAUUGAAAGAAAAGCUCAUGGAAUGCAAGGAGUGCAAAUAGUGAGUUGACUGCUAUAGUAUGUAGUGCUUAAUGGCUGGGAUGUAAGGACAAGAGAGUAUGGUCGAAAUAGUGCUUGUUACUCACUCGCUAUUUUGGUGCUGGUUUGACUAAUUAGCUUUCGUAGUGCCCUCUUUUCGUAGAUUGGAAGGAUCCCUCGCUAGAUAUGUUGGUGUAGGGAAUUCCUGUUCUCUUUCAUAGAUAGGAGGGGCAUGCGUGCUUACAGCCUGUUCUCACAUAUAGAUAGUGGGACAUGCGUGCUUAGUUAGAGAUAGUCGAAGGUGUAAUCUUUCAAAAAGUAGUAAGUAAAAGAAUCGCUACUCGCUCUAGAUGGAUAUUUAGGUACCCUCGCCCUAUUAUUGAUUUUUACUAGUGUAUGGAAAGAGAAUCGUGUGCCCCAUACAUAGGAAAGAUAGAAUCAUCCUACUGCAUUCCUUCUCCGGUCCUUUCAUGGCCCAUGCUGUUCAAAGGCUAAUACAGAAAUAGGAUUACUUACGAGCUGGGAUGGGAAGUAGAGUAUAGCCUUGAGUUUCUUAGUAGGAAUACAACCUUAAUGGAAUUCGGAAUGGGACUUUAGCAUUUCCCUCCAGCAGCACUUUGUUUGGGGAUGGUUGAUUGCUUUUUGAUUCUCUAAAGAAAAAUCCACCAUCACGCUUCUCUUUCUUAUUCUUAUUUAUAUAACUGUCACUUUACCGGGCCGGAAAAGUGACACCGUCACGUCUCAGGGUCGUAUGCCUGGAACAAGAAGGGUCGUCGUACAAUUUCCAUUUCGGCGAUUACAAAAAAGAAGGAGGCGAGCUCCCUAUCCCUCUUUGUCUUUCCACUUCCCUCGUUCAGGAACAAACACUUCGUAAAAUUAUUUUGAGUCCCGGCCCGGUUUUUCCCCACUAACCAAUUACGUUACGACCACUGAACAAACUUGGUUGACGAACAUGGUUUAUGCGCCGCUAAUCUAGCGGCUUGUCGAGCAUUUGACAAACUCACACCAUCCAUUUCAAAUGGGAUUUGUCCCGUGGACACACGAGCAAUCCAACCCGUAGGAUUUCCUUUUCCUCUUCCCAUUCGAACUUCUGCGGGUUUCCCCGUAAUAGGAAGAUCUGCGAGAACUCUUACCCAUAUCUUACAAUUUCUUCGGAAUUGUCCGCUCAUAGCACGAUGGAAUUGUCCGAUUGUAGCCCGACGCGCUGCUUCAAUGGCUCGAUAUGAAAGACGACCAGCUCUACUACUUUUGGUGCCAUAUCUUCCAAAACCAAGUUGUGUACCAUCCGGUUCGCGACCCCUACUACAUCUGCAUUUACUAUAUUUACUAUAUUUCGUACGUUUCGGAUAUAGCACGUCCCUUCUUAUUUUGACUAUAUGAGAUCCGCACUUUGACACCUGAAAUUCCGUUACGAGUAGAUACUUCCGCAGGAGCAUAAUCGAUUUUCUGGUUAAAUACAUUACAAGAUGUUUUUCCAUACUUUCCGCAUUCAGUUCUAGCUAUUUCCGCACCCCCUAAUCGACCAGAACAACAAAUACGUAUCCCCUCCACCCCUUUUGGCAUUAUUAAUGGAAUAUCCUGAACUAUUUUACUAAAAAUGGAACGAAAUGAGAUUGGAUUGUUCCUCAGUUGAAAAGAGAUGUCUUGAGCAAUCAGAGAAGCACUUUGAUAAACUGAUUUGAUCUUUACCGACUCAAUUAAGGUAUUAGUGUUUGUUCUAUUAGACAAAAAAGAUCGCAUUUUUUGCACUUCGUUCAAAUAAGAGUUGUACCCGUACGGAAUUAUCCUCUUUCUCAGUAUGAUCUCUAUCAUCAUCUCUAUUCCCUUUAUCAAUUUGCCUCUCCUACCUAGGUCUAUGAAUUUCUCUAUCAAUUCCAUUACCUUAUCCUUACCCAUGAGGUUCCUACAUUUGAUCCUUAAUUGACCUAGGAGUUGUUCCCGGGCAUACUCAAAAAAUGGGUUAUUAUACACCCCAACCCCAUCCCUUGAAAAAAAAAAGGUAGCACCGAAGAAAGGAAAGAGCGAGAUGGUGGUUUUUGUUGUUCCCGCGAAGCGAAGAUCAUUCGCUUGGCGAAUGAAGUGGAUCAACCUCUUUUUGGCUCGGGCCAAACACUUUUUCUCGCUGGUCGAGCUUUCUACAAAAAAAGCGAUGCGAGAGCGUAUUCUCUUAUCUAAGCUUCCUCCCUUCGCUCCCCCCAUCGUAGAUGGUUCAGCCACACCCGGUGCCACGAAAUGAUUGAGAACUACGACGGGGUCGAAAUGCAUUUUGUUCUUUGUAUUAAAAAAGUAUUGCAUGACCGAAUAAUUCAAGGAGGGGCGCACAGCGGGGAGGGUCCUUUUUAGUAGAUGACUCGUCGGGCCGUCAGAGCGGGACUUCUUUGGUAAAAAAAAGAACUUGAAUAACUUUGUUUUUAUGAAGGAGUCGUCAUUUUCUAUCAGGAAGGCUAUGUCAUUUACAACCCCGGCGUAUUUCGGAUGCUUGAAGGCCCCGCUCACCCGAAGUGAUUUAUCAAAAUUAUUCUUUCUCGAUGGUGAUCGGUCAUGGUAUCCAUAACGUUGCAUCUUUUUCGGCCAAAUCCUGAUUUCGUUUUGCUUCUCCCGGUCGAUCGACUCGACUCUUUUCCCUGCCCCCCGGCCUCUCACUUCGUUUCGUUCUUCCUCUGUACCCUCGCUUGAAUGAAGACACCCGAUCGGCCCGACUUUCCCAAAUGCCCACCACCGGCCCUUAUCCUUUCCGGGUCUUGAUUUGUUGCGUCGUUUUAGUCGUAGUGGUCGACGGGGAAGAAAGAAAUGAAUGAAUGUCCUUUUGGGAAAAUGUAGAAUAAUACACCUACCGAGACGAAAGCCAAAGGUGAGUCUCGUAGGUGGACGUAUCGAACUGAAAUAAGAUCUAAGAUUGACAUCUUGAUACAAUGAUUUACCAUAAUAAUAAAUAGAGUCAAUGGUGACAGAGCCGUGGGAAAAGCCGCUUCUUUUUUGCGGCGGGGGCUUCCAUUCACCAGCGCAGACUACAUACACGUGCUCUCUGAACCGUGCUAGAUAGUCACCCAUCACACGGCUCUCAAACCCAACCUGUGGUGGAUCCCGGGGGACAAAGCAAAGUAAAAGCGCUUGAUCCUUUGCCCCAUACUUUGAGAUCUUCCUCCCCGCCGAUCAAGCAGCAACGCUGCUCGUGAUAGGCUUAGCUUAAGCCGCUAACGUUCGGUUCGGAUAAGUAAUAAAGUCCCUUCGGUCGGUUCGCUCAGGUGGUCUUCCCUUAUUUUCCCUAACGUUCAGAGUUGUUCUGGUUUGAGAAAGGAGCACCGCCAAGUCCACUAGGGGCGCCCUGAAUGAAUAAGAAAUGGACAGCUGAGGUCAGACUUGCAUGAAAAAUAGAAGAUAAUAAGUUAGAUGUCGAUUACACACCUGAGGUUGGUAAGAACUGAGGGACAAUGCCCCCCUCACAGGGCCCAUCAGCGAAGCAACUGCUACUUAAUCGGGCGGUUUGCUUUCGUGCAAGGCCCCCGCUGCUGGAACAGGCGGUUGUCAUUUUCAAGUAAACGCCCCACCCCAGAAGGACGCCCUCGCUCUAUUGGCAAAACGCUUCGAAAGAAGAACGUAUCGCCAAGGCCCCGACCGGCCGGCCCGCCCCCUUUCUUUGCCCGCCGGCCGCCUAGCUCGUUAUUCUUUGAGAUCUGGAUAGAGUCUCGCUUCGGGGCGGGGGAAGCAUGGAUUCGAUAGAUCUAUCGAAUCCAUGCUGCAAGCAGCAAGCGUAGGCUAAAAAGGCAAUAGUCUAACGUUGGGGUAGGGCGCGCCAAAACAACCGGGGGCCCCGGAGGGGUCAGUACAAAAGUACUAUAUUCUUUCCACUUACUUUCAUUGGCUAGCUGCCUUUUGUAGCGCGCGUACUCUGAUCCUCUUCUACGAAUCUACAACUCUCUUUACUGAGCGAGACUUCAUCUAUAUCCCUAAAAGUGGAUUUGGAUUCCCAUUUUUUCUUUGAAUGACAGCUUCAACUAGGCUCCACCUUAGAGAGGGUUUUCGGUUUUUUUUAAUCAAGAUAGGGUCAGGGGCGCGUCGGAACGGUAGCUGCAAGGUCUCAUCCGAGAGUCCAAUCUCUUUGUACUGUGCUUUUAUGUCUUUGAAUAAAAAAGAAAGAAGGGGGUCGAUUUAGGCUCCUUCCCUUCCACUGCAUAGCUGCGCUAUCAGGUACUACGAGCCCUCUGCCCCACGCAUCUAACCAGCUCGCGUGGUUCACCGGUUCCACCGAAAACUCUCAUUUGUUGAAGCGGAGCAUAGUGCGGCGCCGAGCGAAAAAGGUCUCUUUUUUCGGUUUAUUCACUUCUCUGAAAUGAAACUUAGCACUUGUUUUUUUAUUGAUUCCUGGGGCUAGGCGUUCGCAGAAUCAGUCUAUCCGAACCGCAGACGCACUUUUCAGAUCAGUGACGGCCUCUCCAGCGGAGCUGGGCGCCGGGGCCCUGGAUGCGCUAGCGAUCGGCACAUUAGGGGAGUAGAGUACUUGCCCGGGUUUCUCGGCCUGGUAUCCUUAUCCUCGCGUUCAUGAUAUCUACAUUCAACUGUGCCCCGGAGACACGGUCGAAGCACGCCCGCCCCGUGUGCGUCUUUCACGACAUGCUCUGGUCCCGGGUUUCUUCCUGUGGUCUUCUAGCGUUAGAAGAAGUCGUGUCCGUCCCGGACAUCUGCAACGUCCUCUCACGCCUUUGGGGGGACAAACAAAGAUCAGGAAAAGACGGACCGAACCCAUUCGGUGACUUUCGCGGUCGCCCUCACUGAACCGACUUGGAUCUGAACUACGAUUCAGAUCAAGUCUUACCGAAAUUGGAUUUCCUUUUCGUGCCAUAUGUCGCUUAGACUUGACUUUUGCCCCUUUCUGCCCUUUCCUCUAUUUGUUCGAUAGGGUCCUCGUUCUAUUCUAAUUCUAAACCCAUUGUCGUCCACAGUUUCCUUGUCGACGCGAAGGGGCAAGCAGCCCCCAAACAAAGUCUGAGAUCAGAACUCAUACCGCGGUUGUGGCUUGAAGGCCGCAUGCAAGUUCUUCAAUAUUUAGAGAGUAUGUGUUAGUACGAGAUCGCGCUAUCAACUUAUUUAAUCUUUCUCGAUGAAGCAAGAAAACGGAUGCGCUAACGCGCAACGGCUUUCGCGCUAGUUGCUCAAUCCGUUGCUUGUUUGGUUGAUUAGGACAAAAUUGUAUCCCUUAGGAACCGUACAUGCACCUUUGUUUGGAUGCCGAUUGAAUAUUGUUACAAUACGAAAUACUUGAAGGCCACACGCAAUUGACUCACCUACAUUUUAUGCUCCCACCUUUUUGUAGACUCAGCUUCUGCCUCUGGGGAAGCACUCACAUUAUGAUCGAAUUACAAUGUGCAGGUUUUGUGACCACCACUGAUGCUUGCUGUGGGCUGGGCAAGUAUGGAGGCCUAUUCUAUUCAUGUGUGUUCUUCCACGGAUGGCGUGCUGCGACGCAUCGAGCCAUGUCUGGUGGGAUGAAUUCCACCCGACAGAUGCUGUGAACCGAAUCCUGGCAGAUAAUGUGUGGUCCGGUGAGCACACCAAGAUGUGCUAUCCAGUGGACUUGCAGGAGAUGGUAAAACUGAAGCAGUAGAACCAACCUGAAUCUCCAUUGCAGUUACUUGGUCAACUUCUGUGUUUUUUUUGACAAAGAACCCAUACGAGGCGGCACAGCGAAAUGUAUAUGUGGAGAAUUACAAAGUUCUCAUACCGAUAGACUUGUGGGAUUUAGAUAGGUCAGGUUACCAGCAAGUACGACAUUGUCAUGUUUGUUCAUACGUAAAUGCAACGCAAAGGAUCUGUAUGGCCAAAGUGGAACAGAUGCAUAGAUACAGAGCAUGUUAGGUGACAAAAAGGAUUGUUGAAUUGUGUACCCGAUAUGUUUCGUUCCUAAAUGGAUUCUGACAAAACUUUGUUCUGUUGUGGUUCCUGCUAUUCUGACAAAAUUGUUUUGGCAAAAUCUGAAAUUUUUUCCAAGUUUAACAACUGGACUUCGGUGGCUACAUGUUGUUAUAAGCUGGUACCACCGAUCAUCCUUGUUGAUGCAAACACUACUUUUACCAUAUCCUACAGCAUUAGUUAAUAAUCAAUCACUUUACAUACCAGUUUACAGCCUCAAUGACCAAAGGAAAAACAAAGUGAGGAAGGUUCUCCAUCAUUGUGUACAAUCAUCCUCUCAAGUGACCACCUGCUUACAACAACCUUAUAGUUUGUUUAGAUACCGAUUUUAACACUGUCCUUCAAUGCCGGGGCUCUUCGUUACCAAAUACAAUACACCUAAGUGCAACCCCAAUCCCAGAUCUGUAUCUGCACUUUGAGGAGGUUGCUGCAUGUCUGAGACUUGAGACCUCAGAUACUUGUGCUGAUGUCUAGCAACCUGAGCUAGCACUGUCCCCAUAGUUUGGCCAUGCCCAUUUAUGAGCAAUAUUAAGAAAGAGCAUGGAGUGCAUCCAAGGGUGCUACAAGGCUACAACUCUUCAUCGCCAACACCAGAGUUCAAAACAAAGCUGGGGAAUGCCAUGGUUAUGUCCCUGAAUAGGAAAUUAAUGUAUGAGCACAACACAUCACAGUGUGGGAUAAACUAUUGUGCAAGUAAGAACAAUGCCGGGAUCGAAUAAUGCCACAAGCCUAUUCUUUCCCAUAUCACCAUAUCCUGCACAGAUCACUCCCGAUUAAUCGUCACUAUCUCACAUCAGAGGAAGUAAACACAAGAAGUUCCUCUACAGUUCAAACUGACUGUUUCUAUCCAUUCCCGACUCUUCUUGCCUUAACGGAUCAAUUUCUUCAGUCUUACUUUAAUUUGAUUGAGCCCAACUCUGUUUUCACUGCCUUCGGUCUAAUGACUCCUAAUAGUGGAACUACGGAAGACGACUUGUUUUCAGCACUGCUCUUUUCAAGCUAUGAUGAAGUAAACACCAGAAUAGGUAGGAAGAAAAGUGCACUAUAAGUCUUGUCAAACAACUGAUUAUCCGCUGUAACCGAAGCAUUUGUGCCUCCCCAUCAGAAGCAAUCAGUGAAAGCACUCCAAUAUUAGCAAGUUGAAUGGCUAAAUAUGUAUCAAUUCACUAACCAUUUGCGCUGGUGUCAGAUGUGACACAUACAGCCCAGUAGUCUGUCCUCGACAGGUUAUAUUGAUCACCAGCAUAAUGACCAACAGAAAACAGAUAGUGGGGUACUCAGAGAGGUUAUGUCGGAGCUGAAACCAAAGGAAGUCGGAAUUGGGAGAAUAGGAGAUGUACAAGGUGAGAGAAUAGCUGGACGGAGAGGUGAUAAACCAGGGGAGCUUAAAUCACAGAUAGGUAGUGUAUUCCUACAAGGAACAGGUGCUUGUGGUAUCCUGUGGAAAACAAAAUGUCCUGAGCGAAGGGACUACCAGAAAAGUAUUAGGAGAUGCUGAGUACUUGUUUGGAUACCGAAAUUGACUCCCGAAAGGCUAUUUCCUUGCAAAUCGAAAGCCAACAGCUAGUACCAAGCUCUCCUUGCAGUGAGAUGAGGAAAGACCCAAACAUCAACAACAUCUGAAGACGUAGAUGCAUCUGUACGCGUUUUAUAGAAAUCAUCAACCGGAAGACGAUUCUUAGCAUCGGAGUCAACUUACGCCAGGGAUUAGUAUGGAGAUUCGCGCACUGGAUGGUUGCUCCACUGAACCUUGACGUAAGAUAUACUGGUACUCCUUUCGAAGAAAAAGCAUACCACAGGCUCAUUCAUCGAAAAUCAUAGAGACAGGAAAAGAAAAAAGAAUUUUGAUCAAAUCAAUAGAAGGAAGGAUCCCUUACCUGAUUUGAAUUCCAUCCUCCUUCAAAUAGGAUAUGCUCUAAGUCCCUAGACUUUCCUAUAAUGACUGCAACGAUUUUCUCCAUUUUGCGAAUUCCCAUUUUGGUAUUUUGGAUUUCAGGACUUUUAGCCCCGGUUAGUGAAGGACCAGAAAAGCUUUCUAGUUAUGAAUCGGGUAUAGAACCCAUGGGGGGGCUUGGUUACAAUUCCGAAUACGCUAUUACAUGUUAGCACUAGUUUUUGUUGUUUUUGAUGUGGAAACGGUCUUUCUCUACCCUUGGGCAAUGAGUUUCGACGUAUUGGGUGUAUCCGUUUUUAUCGAAGCUUUCAUUUUUGUGCUUAUCCUAGUUGUUGGUUUAGUUUAUGCAUGGCGAAAAGGAGCCUUGGAAUGGUCUUAAGUGAAUAUUCAAACAAAAAGGAAAAGAUUCCAUUGACACAAUUAUGAGUUUGAUUGAGUUUCCGUUACUUGACCAAACAAGUUCCAAUUCCGUUAUUUCAACUACACCAAACGAAUUUGCUUGUUUUAACUAAAAAGCACAGUUGAGCAGGAACGAAGUGUGAACAUAGGCACAAAAACAACGUUUUGGUGAUCCUGUGUAGUUGCUUGCUUUCCGCUUGAGCUACUUUCACUGUGAAGAAGAGGACUUCAUCUCUUCACUUACCCAAGGAAACUUGGAAAUAACGCGUCUGGCUUGGAAAGCUAGUUAGGGAUAUUCGAUAGAGGAAGGACCCGUUUCGAGUAGUGAACGCACCAAGAAAAGCCUUUUAAGCCAUGCUUGGUAACGCACAUGUCCUACUCUACCUGCAUCGGGACUGGUGAGAGCCGGCGAUGCACGGAAUUUUUGAAACGCUCUACUUCACUAAGGAAGAUACGUUUCACUUUUCCGAUCGGAAUUUGAACUCUGGCUGGUUCAGGUUACAGUCAGAGGAAAUAAGAAGUAUGGUAAGAUGAAUGAAAGGCAGAAAUAUAGGACAUACGCUUUAUCGCAGAACAUAUAUUUGCUUUCUAUUCGACAAGAAGGACAAGGAAAAGAUAAUGGAUAUGGAACACAGGUCCUGGCACUAUUGGAAAAUGAAGCUCUCUCAGUUCAAACAUAUGAGAUUACUUAUAUUAUGGAAGUCUUGAAGCAAGAUGUCUUUCAUCCUAAUUCGCAUUUUAGGCCUAUUCCACUUGACUCACGACUGCUCAGAAACUAGUUCGUAGAUUUCGCUUCAACAAAACAACUCGAUCUUUUAAGUCGCUACUCUCACACGGAAUCCCAAGUUCGGGGCCUUCGUUCUUGUGAAGACAUACCGCUUUGACAGUUGGGAGUCAACCAUCCUUUACCCGACCAAAUUGAAUAGCCUUUUACCACUCAGCCCAAUAAACCAGCUAAACCAACCCAACUAACGUAUUUACUUUACAACAGUUGUUAUCUUUCUCAAGAUUAUUUUUUAUACAACAAGCUUGCCCAGGGCUACCACAUGCACCAUCAACCACAUGAUCUGGGGACUAGUUUUGCACAUUUUUUAUUGUACCUUUGGCAAUAGGAAGUCUGAACCGACACCCCCUGUCCCUCGGUGUGAGUUGCAGCAACACUCUGGUGGAAGUUAUCCACCUAUCGAUGGUUAGAACCAGCUGAAGCCGAUUGAAGCGUUCUUGAUACAUUAUUGCACAUCUCAAAAAUUGGAUUUCAUUGAGGAAACAUUGCUCCACUGAGGCGCUCCGCGGACGCUUUUGAUUUCACUUUUAUUCUAUGGACGUUGAGGCUGAAUUGCACAAAUCAUGAUAGAUAUUUAUUGGGCUUACUUUUGCAAAAUGGAGCGGGUACGAAGCAGAUAUGGAUAAGACUUGGAUCGGAUAAGGCUGCUUCGGAUAUUCUUCAGUUACCAGUACGAAUCGGAUAUUCCCAACAAAAGAUAUGGAUACCAGUAUGUUGCGGAUAGAAUGUAGGUGAGUCCCUUUGGAAAGCUGAAUAACUGAACUAAGUAGAAUUGAUUGCUAGGGAUUGUGUUCUCAAGGAUGGCUUUAGCAUUGAUCCAUAACAACCCAGGAUUCAGCUCAAUCAGAACAUAGAAGUAAGAAACAUCCGUAUGCUUUCCUGGAACAGAAGCAAUAGCUACGCGACUACAUCGGAAAGUCUUUGAAAGAAGUUGCAACGCGCUCUUUUCCUUGGUUGCAUCACCAUUUGGUCUUGACAAAGAGAUAAAGAAGAUACGCUUGGGGGUCUUUGACUUUCUCAUCCUGCGAACAUCCGGCUUUCCGAAUGGGGCAGGAAUUCCAUUUCCUACUAGGUUACGAAUUCCAUAAAAAAGAUGGGCCAAUAGGGGAAGAUUCCUUUGGCACUGGUGUGUUAAGCUAACAUUUGCUCGUGCGCUCUUGAGGUUUCUACUCCUGGCUAGAAAACAUGAGGUUUGUGUUGGUUCUACCAACGAAACAAAGAAUAGUAGGAGUGGCUCUUUCCUUGUACCCAGAGCCGAGGGAAGGCAUUUAUUUGAUUUUAAAAGAAGAAAAGACUGGAUCUUAGAACGAUGACUGCAGUCAGAGCCUAUCAACAAGCACAUACAUUUCUUAUAACUGGUCAGUCAGCUUUACAAGCGCUCGAAGUAGACAGAACUAUAAACCUCCCAUAACCAUAUAGAACGAAGUAAGGCUUUUCUUUUCUAUAAUGCUUAUUUGGCGAGAACAACGUGUUAAGCAAUUGACUAUGAACUUAGAAAAUCCAUCGCCCUAUCCCUUGCUUACCUAUUCUUCACAGGCGGCGGCCUAUCUCGUGUUUCUUAAACCCAGCUACCUUGGCAACUAGUUCUAUUCCAUGACACUUGACCAAGCCUAUUACUUAUCUUAUCUUACCUAGUAACUGACCGGUGCUUUUGUGAAAAACGCAUAUCAGCUAUCUCGUGCUUGGCUAUUUCUGACACCUUGCCCUGGCUAGACCUGUGAAUCCCCUCACCACCAAUUUGAAUACAAGACGACUGCCUGGUUCAAUCCUACCACUUUGAGGGCAGGCCACUCUGAUUGGUAGAAGGAAUAUCCCCCAGAGCGGAGGAAAAGCCGACUUCGAGCAGUGGGAAUCGAAAAGGAGAAAGCUGCUUAUAAACAAGCAAGGAUUGGAAAACAAGUGCUAAGUUUCAUUUCAGAGAAGUGAAUAAACCUCAAAAGGCCUAGUCGAUGGUAGUUUGGUUGGGCCAGUGUAGAACCGGUGCGCCCUUGUCCGUCCGUUCAUUGGAAUGUUCUCUGUAGGAAAGCAGGUGAGAAAACCGUAACUCGGAAAGCAGGAAGGAAUUGUUGGAUUGAUCGAAAAAAGCAAAAGAAACGUAACUCGGCCAACGACCGAACUCGCGUAAUAGAUAAAAGCAUUGAUUAGUUGGCUCCGGUUUGAAGAAUAUCCCUCAGAUCGAGGAUCUAUCUUUCGAAAAGAAAGGGUUGUUGUUGCUAGCGGGAAGGAAGGAAAGAACUACUCCACUAUCGACGGGCUCCUAUCAAGAUAUACUAGGGAGAGCCCUCAUUCAACUAGUUUACCUUUACUAUAAGCUAUUAGUGGGGUUGUAUUACUCUAAGCUAUUAGUUUGUAUUGUUCUAGACUAAUGCAUCAUAUACCUGAACCCGGCAUGGGGAAGAAAAAGUAUAGCAUUCAUUCCGAACUGAUUCUAAGAAUCGCUAUUAGAUGCUUCUGCAGAUUCGUAUGUUGCUCUAAUUGAAGCAAGGGCUAAGGGUUCGGUGGGUGCAGGCCGGUCAGCCAUCAGUCUCAGAUCCAUUCCCGCAUUCUCUUAUUAUGUAGUCUUGCUCACUUGACGAUUCGGAAGAUGAGGAUAAGAAGAAAGGAUAAAGAGCAGGAUCGUGAGGAUGCCCCCUAGAGGAAGGUGGCUCUAGACCUCCUGUUUAGAAGAAUGAAUUUCCAUUCUUUUGUUGGUUUUCUGUUCACUUUGAAUCAGCCUACGUCGUCUCUCUUCCCUCACAAUCAUCAGUGUCUGAAGUUUCAUGAUGAAUAUUGGUUUCACAUUUUAUUGCUGUAGUGAGGAAAUAGAACCAGAUGAUACUAUAAAUUUGUAUUUUAGUUCUGAUGAGGAGUGAGGUAGAUUCGCAUUGUUGAAGAAAGCGAAGAAAAAGGAUGCUGCUAUGGCUUGCUUUUGGCUCUUUCUUCUAUUGGCUAGUCUCAGGCAUGAGAGUUUCAAUUUCUUUUGAAAAGCAAGUGCGGCUCAGUCAUAAGUGUUAGUAAUAGCAUGAAGUAAGUUGUCGGUUCCAAGAGAGCAUAAAAAGAUCCGGUCACAAGGAAAGUUUCGUAAUCAAAACUUUGUAUCAAGUAAAAUCAAAGUUACGGUAAUAAUAAAAGUAUCCUUCUUUCCGAUAAAUCAAACUAAAAAGACUAUGAUAAGUUCCCCAAGGAAAUGCGCCAGUUCGUCACAAUCAAUCUUCGAAAAGUCGAGAAAAAAAAGAAAUGCCGGCGGACUCAACAUCUAAUCUAGUCUUUGCUUUAUGUCUUUUACUAUUACUAUUAUUUAUAGAAAGGCAUCCUCUCUAUACUCUAAACCCUUAUCGGGGAGAAUCUUCUAAGUGCUAUAUACGAGCAAAGGGAGGAGGUCUCUAUGGAUAGAGUUCUAUCAGAACCCAACCCUGAAAGCUAUGACAUUACGGGCCACAACGGAUGAAGUGGCGGAGAUCGGAGAAAGCGGAAAAACUCAGACAGCUACUAAAGAAGACACGGUCCUAUAAUGCCGAGUUCCUAGUUAAAGUUAUGGUUACUACCCGGAGAGGAAAGUGAUUCAGAUUAUGAAGUUUCCGAGAGGCGCCUAAGGCUAAGAUAAGGUUAGGGAAAGAAGAAGACAACAAGAUUAUGGCAGGCAGCCAACUCAUCGAAUUCGAUUUCCACCGAAACAGGUUGGAUUCGGAAACCAGAAAAGCUAACUAGAAUCCUUCUUUUCCUUCAGAUAGUGCUCUGUUCAGUGAAUGCCUGUAGAGAAGAGAUGGAAGGCAGGUGUUACCCUUGUAAAAGGUACAGGGACUAUUUCGGCUUAUUAUGGAGCAACAUUGACUAUUUGAUACAUUGGCUAUUUGCUACUUCAACCAUAUCGGCAUUCUAGCGUUUGGUAUAGGUACAUGCAGCUCUAGAGAAACCCAUAUGUUUUAGCUACAUUCUGCCUUCUCAUCUAGUUUGGUUUGCUCUGCCCGGAUCUGGUAACUGCUUCUUCUUUGGAAAUCAAGUUAAGGAUGAAAUGGAAGAUAUCCCAAGAAUGUUGUUGAUUAUAGAAUGGAAAGAGAAGCGUGUUAAGGUAAAUCAAGGAGGUGAAUUAUCUCUCUCUCGGUGCCUGAUCUAUCUGGUAGAUUGGUUUAUAGCACUACCCAACAUCGAUGUAGGGGGACGCGUCGCUAUAGGCAUGGUUUUCCAGAGGCUAGCGGGUCGAGAUGUGAAUGCCAUUACCUUUGAGAUAAGGCAGAACACGCUUUAACGCUGUCCAGUGCAGUGGGCUGAUGCAUGAAAUGCGAUGCCUUGUGAACCGCAAAGGUGAUAUCUGGUCUGGUGAUAGUAGCAUAUUGGGGAGCACUACGAUAGAGGUGGGGAUCGUUCAUUGGUGUACCACUAAACUUAGAAAGUGCUUCACCAGGUAUUAUAGGUGUGAGGCACGAUUUGGCUCCAGCCAUUUUACUACGAACCAAAAGGUCACGAACAUACUGAGGUUGAGAAAGGUGUAACCCGGGGUAUGAGUAAAUACCUAGGCGCUAGAUGAAGAUUACUAAGAUCUUGAAGAUAGAAUUGAGUAGGCAAGCUUUCCUCUCUGUUCAUUAUCGAACUAAGCUUUACUUUCUUUGCGUGCCUUCACAAGGUUAUCCCGCGCUAUCCUUAUCAUUGUUUGUAUUUAUCCUCACCUCACAGCUUUCCGCGAGGGUAUGGAUUCCUGUGGUCUAUGAUGGGCUGUCCCCUAUUGUAGGUAUUCCCACGCUGUCCAUUAUGUGCGUGCUUGAAAGAGAUACUCCAAUUCUAAUAAUGGUGCUCACACUACGGUAUGGCCAACAGGUCGGGAUGGCAGGAGAAUCAGCCGCUAUUUCAUCUGGUUUCAUGACACAUUGACACUUUUUAGGCUUCCACCGAUCUGCUCGUGCGUCUCUAUCACCCGUAUCCCUUAGCUCUGGCUAGGGAGGAUGAACGAGUCGAACCACCAGAAAUCGAAUUGAAACCUUGGUCUAUAGGACUGUCUUGCUUGCCAGUUAGGGGAGUUGUUUCGUGUCUUGUGGUGAGGGCUUUUUUGAGUAAGUAAGCUUAAGCUAGUCCCUCUCGCAAGGUUGAUCUGUUUACUUAGUUGUAGUAAUGUGGUAGGGUUAGGAAGGAAAUAGAGAAUGUUUUCAUAGAAGCUUUAUUUUUCAUAGGUCAACUCUGAGAUGAGUGAAACACAGGUUUUUUGAAUUCUGCCUACGCCAAACUCAAAAUAUCCGUUCGAAGGUGACUGAAGUCCCAUGUUUUGAAAGAGAAAAAGUUUCCGCUAGUAAUUUUCCUCACCAGUCGAAAACCAAUGUUGAGAGAGAAUUCCAGAUAUCGAUUAACAGCUUGCCAACCUAUCCCUAGACCGACGGAUUGAUUGACUGACCUGUUUACCAGGCAGGUAUACCAAUACUAAUUGCAACAGGAGAUACCUAUAGUGUUUAACAGACAGCUGACAGCUCGCGAUGGAGAGACUUUCCAGUUGACAGAAGAGCGAUUGCACAGCUAGACGGAUGGCACACAGAUUUACUUAUAGCUUAGUUUCCUAUCGACCUCGGCUGUGUAAGGAAAUACUUUUUGUGGGUGGCGGUUUUGAUUUCUUUUUGUUAUUAUCUACUUAUAACAACCCAUACAUCCUCUCUUUCGUAUACGAGCAGUGAGUAGCUGUCUCACUCGCUCCGCCAUCAACAGGAAAUCCAUUCCGCAGAAGUAAAGUCAACUGAUUCUUUCAUUCCAGUUGUUAGCCCGCCCGUAAUACAGCUCAGCUUGAGAGACUUACGCAAUGCAAUCGAUGUCUGCCGGUAUGGUUUUUGUUUAUGGUAUACCUCAUCCCCGAUUUGAUUACUUUCUGCGGCUUAUGCCUCUUACCCUGCUCUUUAAGUUCAGUUCCGGUUAGCCCUACUACUUAUGGAUUGGAUUAGUCGCCAAUAAGAGGAAUCUAUUUACUAGGAAAAAGUAGCGCUGAGAGUUCGGUGGAAGGGGAAACCAUUCCCGUAUGGAGCCAGCCUCCCUUAAAGGAAUGUCUAUAUGGGGUCACCACUCUUUUCAGUAGAAGACUGAGUGGGAAGCAGCGGAAGACGAAGCCAAUCGAUAAGGAAAGGUGUAGUGAAAGUCCUACAGGCUCGUUCAGAUGGCUAAAUUCGUAUUGAAGUAAGAAGGGAGAGAUGCCAAUAAUAAUACCAAAUGGGGGUCGGCUACGAAGAUUUUUCUCCCGACUCCAGAGGCUAGGUAAUAAUAGAAAGAUGAAGAGAAGUGGGCGGGCAUGAGGUAUCACAGGAAUCUUCAUGUUCAAAUGUGAAUGAAAGCUUUAAUCACAUCCGGAUUUUCUAAUCCUUACUUUCGGAGAGUGGAUCUAUCCAAUUAGAAUCCCCCAUCCGUCCUACUCGUAAUACAAUAGCAAUAGUAAAGACAGGACGGAGACUUUUGAAAAGAAAAGAGAAGUUGUGGUACUUUCAUCAUGACAACCAGAUCCUUGAUCAUCUGCAUUCCCUUCCUUAAGUUCAAAGUGGAGGGACUAAGAGAAAGAGAUUCUUCCAUCUGACGUACUCUCUUGCUUGUCUGAAUCCUGCCCAAAAGAAGAUGCUCGAGCGUAAGUUAUCGUUCGUAACAUGCCUACGUUAGUCACCAAAACAAAAGCAGGGGAGGUAUGGUUACCGGAAGAAACCCUGAACUCGGAAAGAUAUGCUAACUGGGUUAUUAGAAACAAGCAAGGACACAUUGGGUUCCCCGAACCCUUCAAUCACUCAUCCCUCCAGAGAUGGACCACGAGCUGGUGGCAAAAAGGAUAACUAGAAGAGACCAAGGAAAAGGCUUAGAUAGAUGAAGCGGAAGAAGGAAGAAGGCUUGAAGGGGGAUUAGCAAGGGAAUGAAUCUGAUGAAGCUGUUCCUCCGCUAGAAUAAGGGGGGCAUGAUCACUGGUGGGGAUCUAUAGAGAGUCCGUUUUAUGAAAUAUCUGAGAAAGCAAAAGAAAAAAAAGAGAGACAGGUAGUUUAUUUAUCACCAAAUAGAGAUGAAUAUUAUAUGAUAGCAGCAGGAAAUUCUUUGUCCUUGAAUCAGGGUAUUCAGGAAGAACAGGUUGUUCCAGCUAGAUACCGUCAAGAAUUCCUGACUAUUGCAUGGGAACAGAUUCAUGUUAGAAGUAUUUUUCCUUUCCAAUAUUUUUCUAUUGGAGGUUCUCUCAUUCCUUUUAUUGAGCAUAAUGAUGCGAAUCGGGCUUUAAUGAGUUCUAAUAUGCAGCGCCAAGCAGUUCCACUUUCUCGGUCCGAGAAGUGCAUUGUUGGAACUGGAUUGGAACGACAAACAGCUCUAGAUUCGAGGGUUUCCGUUAUAGCCGAACGCGAGGGAAAGAUCAUUUCUAGUGAUAGUCACAAGAUCCUUUUAUCAAGUAGUGGGAAGACCAUAAGUAUUCCUUUAGUUGCCCAUCGGCGCUCUAACAAAAAUACUUGUAUGCACCAAAAACCUCGGGUUCCGCGGGGUAAAUCCAUUAAAAAAGGGCAAAUUUUAGCGGAGGGAGCAGCUACAGUUGGCGGGGAACUUGCUUUAGGAAAAAACGUUUUAGUAGCUUAUAUGCCCUGGGAGGGUUACAAUUUUGAAGACGCAGUACUAAUUAGUGAACGUUUGGUAUAUGAGGAUAUUUAUACUUCUUUUCACAUCCGAAAAUAUGAAAUUCAGACGGAUACGACAAGCCAAGGCUCCGCUGAAAAAAUCACUAAACAAAUACCACAUCUAGAAGAACAUUUACUCCGCAAUUUGGACAGAAAUGGAGUUGUGAGGUUGGGAUCCUGGGUAGAAACUGGCGAUAUUUUAGUAGGUAAAUUAACGCCUCAGAUAGCGAGCGAAUCGUCGUAUAUCGCGGAAGCUGGAUUAUUACGGGCUAUUUUUGGUCUUGAGGUAUCCACUUCAAAAGAAACUUCUCUCAAACUACCUAUAGGUGGAAGAGGGCGCGUUAUCGAUGUGAAAUGGAUCCAGAGGGACCCCUUUGACAUAAUGGUUCGUGUAUAUAUUUUACAGAAACGUGAAAUCAAAGUUGGGGAUAAAGUAGCCGGAAGACACGGGAAUAAGGGGAUCAUUUCCAAAAUUUUGCCUAGGCAAGAUAUGCCCUAUUUGCAAGAUGGAACACCUGUUGAUAUGGUCUUCAAUCCCUUAGGAGUACCCUCACGAAUGAAUGUGGGACAAAUAUUUGAAAGCUCGCUCGGAUUAGCAGGGGAUCUGCUAAAGAAACAUUAUAGAAUAGCACCCUUUGAUGAGAGAUAUGAGCAAGAGGCUUCAAGAAAACUUGUGUUUUCGGAAUUAUAUGAAGCCAGUAAACAAACAAAAAAUCCAUGGGUAUUUGAACCCGAGUACCCGGGAAAAAGCAGAAUAUUUGAUGGAAGAACAGGAGAUCCCUUCGAACAGCCUGUUCUAAUAGGGAAGUCCUAUAUCUGAAAAUUAAUUCAUCAAGUUGAUGAGAAAAUUCAUGGACGUUCUACUGGGCCCUACUCACUUGUUACCCAACAACCCGUUAGAGGAAGAGCCAAGCAAGGGGGACAACGAAUAGGAGAAAUGGAAGUUUGGGCUUUCGAAGGAUUUGGUGUUGCUCAUAUUUUACAAGAGAUACUUACUUAUAAAUCUGAUCAUCUUAUAGCUCGCCAAGAAAUACUUAAUGCUACGAUCUGGGAAAAAGAGUGCCUAAUCACGAGGAUCCGCCAGAAUCUUUUCGAGUGCUCGUUCGAGAACUACGAUCUUUGGCUCUAGAACUGAACCAUUUCCUUGUAUCUGAGAAGAAUUUCCAGGUUAAUAGGGAGGAUGUUUGAUCGGAAUAAAUAGAAAUUUUUUUCUUAUUUCUAUUUUAUGAUUGACCAAUAUAAACAUAAACAACUUCAAAUUGGACUCGUUUCCCCUCAACAAAUAAAGGCUUGGGCUAAAAAAAUCCUACCUAAUGGGGAAGUCGUUGGCGAAGCGGCCCUCCACUUUUCAUUAUAAAACCGAUAAACCAGAAAAAGAUGGAUUGUUUUGCGAAAGAAUCUUUGGACCCAUAAAAAGCGGAAUUUGUGCUUGUGGAAAUGGGGAGCAAGUACUCAGCAGAGAUAUCUACAGGCUCGGUCAUCGCUUUGACUUCUUCCGAAUGCUUUCGUGCUAUUUUACAACUGUUGGGUUUUAUAUUAGCUCAAUGGUAAUGUAUAUAGGGCAGUAGCAUGCAUUAUAUUUGUUACUGUACAGUUGGCUGUCAUGCAUAUUUUCUCAUGUUCUUGUCUUAAUGUUGUGCAGAUGGUUGUCAUAAUAGUGUCUGUUUUCUUGUACGGAAGACUUUACUUAGCAUUAAGUGGACUUGAGUUUGCAAUUAUGAAGCAAGCACGGAUGAGAGGGAAAAAUUCAAGCGGCUAUAUUACGAGUUCCAGUGGGUUGUCUUAAAAAGAAUGGUUUAGCUGAAUUCAGGAGAAUUCUGUCUUUUGCGCAUGAGCGAAUCGAGAGAAUCUCUUGGUUUUUUAUCUACCGAUUAAAGGUUUCCGGGCACUGAAAAGAUAGUGAUUCGGGAGUCAAAUCCCCAACAGACAUAGGGGUGGUAUCCGUGGCAUAAAACCCUUUCAACAUGCUCCUUUCUUCUUUAUCUCCUGGCAAUGAAAGGCAGGCGGUGCCUUCGUCUCGUUCAAUACGGAAGUCUUCGGCUCAGCACCCUGCUCUCUGAAAUCGAAACCCCACUUGGGCAUCCUGAAUAGAACUCCCCCUCUAUCACCCAAGGUUGGUUUUUAGCAAGCUAAACCGCAUCUCUAACACACCUCUUUGUAGGGCGGUUAUGAAAAAAGAAUUUUGAGAAAGAACAAGGGGAUGAGCAAAAGAAAAUCCCCCUCGCAUUCACAGGCGAACCUCGUCCUAUACGGCUGUUUUUUCGAGAGAAGAGAGAUUCCUAUCUCUACUGAUAGGAGGUACUCGUGCAGGCUAUUCCCAUCUCUGAUGUGUAAACACAAACUCUUCACUGUCCCAACAGAACUAACAGAGCUUGAUACCUAAGAUGCAAGGGAUUCACCCCCAAAGUGCAUAUUUCUUUUCUCGGCUGCUGUAACAACUAGUACAUAAGUAGCAGGCUUUCGCCUCAGAAGUAUCUGUUCCCCUAAAUAGAAUAAGUUGGGCGCCACUACAGCUUCUUGAGUUGGCUCCGCUCCGUAAACUUAGGUUGGCUCAGUCAGCUCCUCGUAUCAAGACUGAAGUCUGUCAAGCGGUCCUUGAUUGAAAAUGUUGUCAAGCAACCAUCCAUGAAGAAAUGACAUCAGGAGAGUUGCCAGCGAGGAUGAUAUCAUCAACAUAUACAAGCAUAUAUAGAGUUACUUUUCCCGCCAUAACUUCUAUAAUAGGGCAGGGCUUCUUUUGAGGCUGAGAAUCUGUACCGCUUAAGUAAGUCACUCAGCUUUUUUAACCCGGCCUUAGAUGCUUGCUUCAACCCAUAGAGAGACUUGAGGAGCUUGCACACAUAAGACGGACGAGUAGGGUCAAUGAACCGGAGGGCUUGCUGCGUAUAAAGCUGCUCAUCAAGGCAUGUAGAAAAGCAUUUUAUAUAUAAAGUUGCUGAAUUAAUCAACCAGUAGAGAUAGCCAGAGAUAAGCCUGCUUAGAAUAUCUGCCCGAAUGGUAAGCGGUUUGAUAACGGGACUUAAUUUAUCAUUAAAAGAAAUUCCUAUCUUAUAAGUUGAUGCGCCGCCCUUAGCAACCUUGUAUCGCUCAAUAUCUCCAUCCACAUGUGUGUUUUUUUAGUUUAUAAACCCAUUUUCAGCCAAUUCGGGUUCCAUGGGAAGGAGGCGCUACCCACAUGAGAAUUCACAUAUAUGGUUGAUGAAAUACUGGAUUACUGGGCCCAAUAUAGUUGUUAUGGUGCUUAAUCUGUAGACAAGUAGAGUUCGUGCACACUGUUAUACAAGACAAUAUACUCUAACACACACUCUUGGUAAUAAAAGGCAAUCAACAAUUUGCUGAUAUAACCUGUUCUUCCCACUGUGCAGAAACCGGAGGAGGGAAAACAAUGGCAGGCUUUGUACCAGAACCCGCAAAAAGCUGUCUUCUUGGAACUGAAUCCUUGUUACCAUGACCGAACUCAGCCAGCUCUCUGAAAAUUAGAAAAGGUAGCAAUAAUUAGUUGCCUAUUCAUAUGGAAGCUAUGUAUAUAAUUCUCAGGAGCUCAACAAAGAAUAACCUGAUCUCAUUAACCAUCAUAUCUCUUGUUAUCACUUCUAACAUGUCUUGAAGCAACAGUACCACAUUAUCAAACUUUGAGGCAUCUCUUUCUUUCUGCAGGUGACCAGCAUAAUGUUAGCAUUACCUUCAAUACAUGAAUUGAUCAUCUGUCUUAACAAGUUGAAAUAUUGAAAUUGUCAAAUAGGAGAAUAGUUGAGUAAAUGAGUAAAGUAGUAACAUUGCAUUACCAAGGUAGAUACAAGCUCCACAAAUUUAUUGCAAAGAACUGGGAUGGGAGUGCGCUCAUUCUAAAAUUGGCAAGGAACGUAUUCUUUGCAAUAUUAGCUUCUAUUUCUUUUAUUAUAAUACCAAUAAUCCUGUUUAUGUUAAUGAACAAACAUGUCAAAAGAGGAUCAACAUAAUCAACUGAACAUGGAAUUCAAAGAUAUAUAUAUGCACCAACGGCCAUGCAGUUCAAGAAGCCAACUAGCAUGAAGGAUAAAACACAUAUGCCUUCAGUACCAUUGAGGUUACGUAUGUAACAAUAGCUAAAGCUUACUAACUACAAGCAGUCAUAGUUUUCUUUACAUUGUACAUCUAUGGUGGUGCUUGGCUGUCCGCUGUCCUUCUCCCUAGUUCAUUUUGGAAUAGCUAGUUCCUGAAUAUUGAAAUAGUGAAUAUGUGCAGCCACAUGCAAAUGUUGGAUUCCAUAUUCUUAGUAUUGGAUUUGUAACCUUGGCUCAGUGGCUCACACAUGCCUAAUUAUAUAGGGUCUGGUAGUGUAAAGCUCAUAUGUCACUUCGAUCACCACCUCUAAUCCCCCAUUGAUUCUUGAUAGCGUGAGAUGGUGAAAUUGUUCUGGCUUGUGUGGAGAGACUGGUCUUGGGCUGGGGCUGCUGCGACUAACCUUUCGCCCAGAGUUGGCGGAGCUGAGGUUGGCUGGCUGGGUGGCACUUUUCGUCGACCCAUUUGGGAAAGUUAGUGGUGCGUUGCAUGGUCAAUUUGGAUUUGAUCAACAACUUACCUUGACAAUUCGCAUUGAUCAACUGACCUGGCAAAGAAAAGAGUCAAAAUCUGGAUCAAAUCGGUGAAGAAACACGACUUGUCCCUAUUGAAAGGAAUAGGAGAGAUAGAAAGUGCGGGGAAGUUGAUUUAUUAGUUUGGAGGAUAAAUAGAUAGGCGUGAGAGUACUUUACUGGUUGAAAAAUAGACUGGCAUAAGGGAUAGGCAAGGGUAAACUGGAUAGCCAAGUUCAAUGACUGAGAAGUAGAGGGCUAGCACGAGCUGUGACCAUUGCCAAGAACGAGUGCAUUCUAUACCUAGCGAUAGGUCAAGAUCCUUUUUCCUAUCUAUUGAAGAUGCAAAGAGAGAUGCUUCUUCCUCUUCAAGUUGGAAGUGCAAGAAGAAAUGCGGUAAAGCGGUAAAUAGGAGUUCCAUCUACCACGCACUCGCCCCACACUCCAGUUCAGCAUCCAUACUCAGCUAGGAGGAAGGUGCCGGGGACACUAUGAACACACAUGUACUUGGUUGACUUCACGUCCCGUCUCACAACCGGGUAAGAUCAAAUAAACAAACAGCUUGCUUGCCCAAUCCCUAUUGAGAGGAUUUCUUGAGCUUCCUUUUGUAGCUCCGCUCACAGGGACUUCUUUUCAUCCGCAAUGAAGCUUAUACCACCACUUGGCCAGUAAGGCCUGAUUCAAAAAAGAUCAAUCACCCCCUUCCCUACUUCAAUGGAAAAGGGGGAAUCGCCCUUUCACAGCCGCCCCUCCACUAAAUUUAUACCUAUCCUUUCGCCUAAGAUGAUCACGAACGAAGACAGAGAAUUGCGUAGAUAGGAGGAGGAAACGAACCAACCCGGGGCCCCAAACAAACAAAAGGGAAUGAGAGAAAUGAUCGGAACGAUUGAGGAAAGAAAGAGAAUGGCGGCCCCUUUCCUUUCGCCCAGGGGGCAUCGUCGUCGGGGACAGGCUUCGAGGGUUCUUCCAUAUUUAGAUAUAGAGAUAGAUGAUGAUAGAGAUCUAGAUCUUUCUAUAGAUAGAUCCUUUGAGAAAUUUCUAUUGAUCCGCUUUCAAGAUCUAUGAACAAGAGAGAAAAAAAAUAUCCAUGUAAAAAAAAGAGAUGAAUAGAUAGGGCUGAGCCGAUAGCAGGACUGGGUACGAUGAUGGGGCGAGAGAGGGAAAAAAACCUUCGGGAUGGAUCGGGAAAAGUGACCUCCGGCUCAGCCCACGACUCCCUUUCCCUUCCCUUCGCAUAGCUCACUCAAAAUCCCCCUUUUUUCCCAGAAUGAAUUCGCCCGACACGACGAAUCCUGCCCUCCUGUCUUUCUUUCUCAUUGAAUGAACCACUGCCUGGGACGCCCCUAUGCCUAUGAAUUCAAUGAUUUAAGGGCCCCGGGAGGAAACUUCGGAAAGAAAGCCUACUGGUUGGUCUGGUUGUCCCCCCGGCGGUGCCCGGGCGGGCCUCGGUUCAAUCUUGCCGAUUCUACCUAGACAUGGCUCAAAACGAAGGGGUAAGGCCAAGUGUUCUUAAAACUAAACUCUCAGUGCACUUCGGAGCACGGUCUUCCGUUAGGUCCUUUACGGACGACGAAAGCCCCUUGGCUAUACUCUACUCUUCGCCUCCGGCUGUUCUGUUCUUUUCUUUCCUUUUGGCUCGGCGGAGCUGAGCUGGGUUCCAUUACACUCUGUAGGAAAUGCAUAGACAGUCCACGCAGCAAACCGAGGCCCUGCGUGCGCCGUACGUACCGCCUACGAAUAAUAGGUAGCCCCACCCCAGGCAGAGUUUGUGAGCCGUGUAAUAGGCGACCAUUUCGCGCGGUUCGGGGGGCACUUGAAUAAGCCGCCGGCACCCGGCUGCGUCUUUACCCCUAUCCAAUUUUUGGGCCAAUUCCCCCUUCGUACUACCAAAAAAUGAGAUUCUUGCCGAAUCCGAGUUUGCUGCUCCAACCAUUACAAAACUAAUACCUAUUCUGUUUAGUACUUCAGGUGCUUCUCUAGCGUAUAAUGUCAAUCUCGUAGCGGAUCAAUUCCAACGAGCCUUUCAAACUAGUACUUUUUGUAAUCGACUCUAUAGCUUCUUCAAUAAACGCUGGUUCUUCGAUCAAGUUUUGAAUGACUUUCUAGUCAGAUCGUUCCUGCGUUUCGGAUAUUCAGUCUCAUUCGAAGCUUUAGACAAGGGUGCUAUUGAGAUAUUGGGCCCUUAUGGUAUCUCGUACACAUUCCGACGAUUGGCCGAGCGAAUAAGUCAACUUCAAAGUGGAUCUGUUGUGCGAAGAGUGCGUUAUGAACCGUGGCCGCCUACCUGCUUUGGUUGGUGGGGGCGGCUCCUCCGUUGUGGGUAAACGGGAAACCCGACUCUACGAACCCGAGGAAAGGCUGCACAGCUUCCGUAGGGUCGUUAAGACCGGAGCUUUUUGUAGUGCUAGCAGGAAUGCAAGUGAAUGAAUCCAAUCCCAUCCCCUUUCAAAUCGGCGAGGUAAUACCUUAUUGAAGUAGGGCACGCUACGGCAACACAGGACUGACGGGGUGGGGGCUUGCUGUCUACUUGGCGAGCCUUCACUGCCCCCUUCUGUAACUUCCCUUCUUUCGUCCGUCCACGAGGCAGUCAAAAGAAAGAGAGAAAGGGGCGGCUAUAACGCAGGAGUCGUGGCGGUUGUAUGCCACAAGGUCCCUAUAGACAAGGGGACAAGUGAAUCAUCGCUUUUGGGCGCAGGCAGCCCUCUACCAUCCAUCCCAUUGCAUUCCUCUCAUAGAGUACUGUACCGUCUCAGACCAGAUACAUCUAUGGAAAGAAAGGAUUUCAUAGAAAAUAUUCAUUUUUCUAUUUUUUUGGAUCCCCAUGCAUUCCGUUAUUCCCGUAACUAUGGAUUGAUUGUCCCUACCUAACUAAAUGGUAGUGGUCUAGGGAGCGCAAUUGCUAGAGCACGGGAGAAUGAAGAGUAAUGAUUUAAGCAAGAGCAGCCGGACGGACUACUAUAGUCAGUCUAGUGACUACUAUAGUCUUUUCUUUCUUUGUAGUUAAGUAAUAAUGUUUGGUAUAGCAGCCUUUCCGAGCGAGUCUCUGGGAUCUCCUGUAAACCCCCAUGAUGUGGUAAAGGGAGGAUAUUAGGGGAAGCAGUGAGUGGAGAUUCCCCUGCAGAGAGCCGGAUGAGGGGAGACCCUCACGUCCGGUUCGGAGGGCGGGGAUAUCCCGACCCUACUAUCAUUAUGCCUUUGCAAUGUUACUUGGUUCAACUCCAUUUGUGACCUUUUCUCGUAUGUGGGACUCUCUAUCUUCUUGGGUAGAUUCUAGAUCGUCUUUCAUUUUGUUAGUGAGUAGUUUUCUUAUUAAUAAGUCAAGUCAAGAAUAAUAAGAGAACUGUAGGAGCUUGCCAGGACGGCUUGGUAAGCAAGCUACCUGUUAUGUAGGCGCCAACUCCCAGUUCUUUCUCUUCUUUCUUUUUUCUUUUUUAUUCUAGUUUUUUAUACUAUACGUAUAAUCACCUUUCCGGGGAAGGGGUAACAUAGACGGAGGCACAUGUAGACAGAUACAGACUUUUGAAAUCUUUUGCCUAAGCGAAGUAGAUAAGUAUGAGGGAAGAAGUAUUUGAUUGUCCAGCAUGAUCGGUUUCAUAAGUCCAGUUGUGCCAGAAGCUAGAGUUGCCUUUAUUAGUGGAUAAGGGUGGGUUAGGCAUGACAUUCUUAAUCGUAGACAAGGCGCGCAGCGGAAGAGCUUGAUUGCUAACUAAUUGCUUGCUUUUAACCAGUGACUGACUUACACGGCUACUACUUUCCUGAGUACCGCUUCAGAAUCGUUCCUACUUUCCUUUUUAAAGGUCUUCCUCUCUCUACUAGGAUUGACUCGCUUAGAAGUCGAGGGGGUCCCAUUUCCAUUCCUUUGCCAAAGACCCUAAAGCUUGAACUACCUCUUUGUCUCAUUGAUCCGAAAAGAAAGGAAAGAAGAGGAUUCCUG
rnacentral:lncRNA from 1 species